UACAGAGGGCGCGAGCGUUAAUCGGAAUUACUGGGCGUAAAGCGCACGUAGGCGGCUUGGUAUGUCGGGUGUGAAAUCCCCGGGCUCAACCUGGGAACUGCAUCCGAAACUGCCUUGCUCGAGUAUGGGAGAGGGAAGUGGAAUUUCCGGUGUAGCGGUGAAAUGCGUAGAUAUCGGAAGGAACAUCAGUGGCGAAAGCGGCUUCCUGGACCAGUACCGACGUUCAGGCACGAAAGCGUGGGGAGCAAACAGG
rnacentral:rRNA from 1 species